UACGGAGGGUGCGAGCGUUAAUCGGAAUUACUGGGCGUAAAGCGCACGCAGGCGGUUUGUUAAGCUAGAUGUGAAAGCCCCGGGCUCAACCUGGGAUGGUCAUUUAGAACUGGCAGACUAGAGUCUUGGAGAGGAGAGUGGAAUUCCAGGUGUAGCGGUGAAAUGCGUAGAUAUCUGGAGGAACAUCAGUGGCGAAGGCGACUCCCUGGCCAAAGACUGACGCUCAUGUGCGAAAGUGUGGGUAGCGAACAGG
rnacentral:rRNA from 1 species